GACGAACCGUGCGAACGUUGUUCGGAAUCACUGGGCUUAAAGGGCGCGUAGGCGGGCUACCAAGUCUGUGGUGAAAUCCUCCAGCUCAACUGGAGAACGGCCGCGGAUACUGGUGGUCUCGAGGGGGAUAGGGGCAAGCGGAACUGUGCGUGGAGCGGUGAAAUGCGUUGAUAUGCACAGGAACUCCGGUGGCGAAGGCGGCUUGCUGGAUCUCUUCUGACGCUGAGGCGCGAAAGCUAGGGGAGCGAACGGG
rnacentral:rRNA from 1 species